rnacentral:rRNA from 1 species
UUAUACAUGAGCAAAAUCUCAACUUUAUUAGAAGAGACGCAUUUAUUAGAUAAAAAGCCAGUUCAUGCUUUUACAGUAUGAAAAUUGGUGAUUUAUAAUAACUUAGCAAAUCGCAAAGUGAAAACAGGCGAUAAAUCAUUCAAGUUUCUGACCUAUCAGCUUUCGACGGUAUGGUAUUGGCUUACCGUGGCAGUGACGGUUAACGGGGGAUUAGGGUUCGAUUCCGGAGAGGGAGCCUGAGAAACGGCUACCACAUCUAAGGAAGGCAGCAGGCGCGCAAAUUACCCAAUUCUAACAGUUUGAGAGAGGUAGUAACAAGAAAUAACAAUACAAGGCAGUUAAAAUGCUUUGUAAUUGGAAUGAUAGAAAUUUAAACCCUUUUUAAAGUAUCAAUUGGAGGGCAAGUCUGGUGCCAGCAGCCGCGGUAAUUCCAGCUCCAAUAGCGUAUAUUAAAAUUGUUGCAGUUAAAAAGCUCGUAGUUGAAGUUCUGCUGAAAGUAACCGGUCUGCUUUUAAUAAAAGUGGUAUCUUGGUAUGUAUUUAGCAAUGAUGUCCUUUGAAGUGUUUUUUACUUUAUUGUAAUAAAGCAUAUUCAGGACUUUUACUUUGAGAAAAUUAGAGUGUUUCUAGCAGGCUGACGCUUUGAAUACUGCAGCAUGGAAWUAAUAA